UACGGGGGGUGCGAGCGUUGUCCGGAAUCACUGGGCGUAAAGGGCGCGUAGGUGGCGUGAUACGGGUGUGGUGAAAGCCCGGGGCUCAACCCCGGGUCUGCCAUGCCGACUGUCAGGCUCGAGUGCUGUAGGGGCAGGCGGAAUUCCGGGUGUAGCGGUGGAAUGCGUAGAGAUCCGGAGGAAGACCGGUGGCGAAGGCGGCCUGCUGGGCAGUUACUGACACUGAGGCGCGACAGCGUGGGGAGCAAACAGG
rnacentral:rRNA from 1 species